CCAUCCCGGAACAGGGACCGCUCCGAUUCUGCCAUCACCUCGCCACAGAAAAGUUCUUUACUCCUUUUGCCUUCAGAUUUCUCCCAGGGACUAGAACUUGGCCUCUGGAUUACAGGGAGGGUGGAAGUCAUGUCCUUCCCUACACAGAGAGAAAGCGGACCCACGGAGUGGGGUCUGGAGGAAGUCCCUCCCCUUAAUUGAUUUUCUGUAGUGCGGAAUCCGCAGUGCAGAUUUGAAUUUUGCUUUUCAGUAGCCUGCGUUUGCCAGGAGGGUGCAGCCAGGACGAAGAAGCUCGAGUUGGAGACGAGACUGACGGUUGGGGUCACAGCAAGGUCCUUAUGUAAACUCCCCUUCCUCCUGCCCUUCUCCUUCCAAGCCAUUCAGUUCCUGGGGACCUAGUAGACUGCCUUCCCUUUCCUCUAUGUGGAGAACCUUCUUUUUCCAACCAGACAGUUGCCUGAUGAAAUGCUGGAGCUCAGUUCAUUCUGCCUCACCCCUGGCUAAGAGAAAGCAGCAGGCACCAGCGGGGCAGUCGCGUUUCAGGUGAUGCGUACCUGAGGAAGUCUCUACCCUCUCCCGACCCUGAGAUAAGCUGUGUGGAAGCUCUCCACGGAGGACCAGAAGCAAAGAAUGCUCAAUACACCUCCUUCGUCUGUCCCCAUAGUACACCAGAGAUGGCCAAAAUGCUCCUGGCUGAGAUGACAGCAAUAAGCUGGGGGCUCAAUGAUCCUGAGCUUCUGAGGUCUUUAUUGGCGUUCUGAAAUAGCCUGAAACAUACCCAACUGAUGUUUAAUCUAUCUGUCCACUUGAAGAGAUCUAGAAUCCCUUGGGAGACAGGCUCUGGGCAUGUCUAUGGGGGAUUAUCUGGACUAAGGUGAGAAGACCUGCCCACUAUGGGUGGCACCGUGCCAUAGGCUUGAGGCCACUCAUCACUCUUCCUGAUUAUGACCCAAAGCUUCAAGACCCUGCUGCUUUGACUUCCCCACUGUGAUGGACUGUACCUGGGACUAUGAGCCAAAAUAAACCCUUUAAGUUGAGAGUAUUUCAUCACAGCAAGGAGAAAAGAAACUAUGACACCUGAUGAGCCAGAACUUCCUCCAGAAAGGUCAACCAAUGCUAAUAAACUCCAGACCAUUGGGGCUCACCAGCUUGUAAAGUAACCUAUUCUAAUGUCAGCUCUGUUGGUCAAUGAGAUCUAAUUCAAAGGGAGAAUUUCCCUUUGAUCCAAGCAACAGUUUGAUUCAGAAUGAGCUGGUCUGAUAUCUGCCUAAAAGGCUGGACCUCUUUCCCACCUCAAUGGAUGGGUCAAGCUACUCCUGUAGGAUGCCUCAUUUAGUUCAUCCCCCAUCUUUUACCACCUUAUGGGAUCCAAGCAUCCUACCAGCUAGGAUGGUCUUUGACUAUUAGAUGCCUACAGGUCCACAAACUCCAGGGACUCUCUGGACAGAUCCUGCAGCGGUUUUAAAGGUAC
rnacentral:lncRNA from 1 species